rnacentral:rRNA from 1 species
AGUCUGACCUGCCCAAUGAUUAAUAUUAAAUGGCCGCGAUAUUUUGAUCGUGCAAAGGUAGCAUAAUAAUUAGUUUUUUAAUUGAGAACUGGUAUGAAAGGUCGAACGAGAAAAAGACUGUCUCAAUUUAAUUUAAAUUAGAAUUUUAUAUUUAAGUUAAAAAGCUUAAAUAAGUUUAAAAGACGAGAAGACCCUAUAGAGUUUUAUAUUAAUUAUAAAAUUUUUAAUUUUAAGAAUUUUAUUUAAAAAUUUUAUAGUUUAUAUUUGGUUGGGGUGAUUAAAAAAUUUAAUAAACUUUUUUUAUUUAUAUAAACAUUGAUAAUUGAUUAAAUGAUCCAUUUUUUAUGAUUAAAAGAUUAAAUUACCUUAGGGAUAACAGCGUAAUUUUUUUUAAGAGUUCAUAUCGAAAAAAAAGUUUGCGACCUCGAUGUUGGAUUAAAAUUUAAUUUUGGUGUAGAAGCUAAAAUAUUUAGGUCUGUUCGACCUUUAAAAUUUUACAUGAUCUGAGUUUAAACCGGUGUAAGCCAGGUUGGUUUCUAUCUUUAA